AUCCACCUCCACUCGGGUAUAAAAUCCAAUUUAGGCGCGUAAAAAAUGAUGGCUGAGGGAAAAGGCUUAAAUGAAGGCUUAAAUCAAGAACGAAAAACGUAAAGAAAGACAAGCUUACUGCUGUGAGACUAUAAGCUGGGCGCUAAGAAUCUAUAAGACGGCGGCUGUCAAAGCUAGCUUGUAUGAAACUAUCAAAGCUGGCUAUCAACAAUUGUUAAUUUCAUUGGAGGAUAAGCUUAAUAAUACAUGUUGCGCCCAACAGCACACUAUGUGCCUUAACAGCACUCUAGCAACUGCAUUCAUGGCGCCUUAUAGCACAGAAUUCAGUGUUUUCAUAUACAAAAAACAGUCUGUUGCCAGUUGGCGGGAAAAGAAACAGGCAGAAGAAUCGUUUCUUCUGGGCCAAAUGAGAUGGCGGAUCACAAGCAGAUGAUUAUAGGUGGCGGCGAUGACGACGAAAGACGGUCUUGCCAGUCGUGUGCUCCUGAUGCUGCUGGGACGGUGGGAGUCCCAACCAAAUUGCUACGGUAGCCGCUUGCUGUUGGAUCUGGAUGAACGCGGGUGGUGAUGGUGUCAUCGAGUUGAGUUGAGAAAUUCCUCAUUGACACGGCCACCGAG